rnacentral:rRNA from 1 species
UACGGAGGGUGCAAGCGUUAUCCGGAUUCACUGGGUUUAAAGGGUGCGUAGGUGGGUUGGUAAGUCAGUGGUGAAAUCCCCGAGCUUAACUUGGGUACUGCCAUUGAUACUAUCAGUCUUGAAUACCGUGGAGGUCAGUGGAAUAUGUCAUGUAGCGGUGAAAUGCUUAGAUAUGACAUAGAACACCAAUUGCGAAGGCAGCUGGCUACACGAAUAUUGACACUGAGGCACGAAAGCGUGGGGAUCAAACAGG